rnacentral:misc_RNA from 1 species
GAUGAAGACGCAGCGAAAUGCGAUACGUAGUGUGAAUUGCAGAAUUCAGUGAAUCAUCGAAUCUUUGAACGCACAUUGCGCCCUUUGGUAUUCCAAAGGGCAUGCCUGUUCGAGCGUCAUUUGUACCCUCAAGCUUUGCUUGGUGUUGGGCGUCUUGUCUCCAGUCCGCUGGAGACUCGCCUUAAAGUCAUUGGCAGCCGGCCUACUGGUUUCGGAGCGCAGCACAAGUCGCACUCUUUUCCAGCCAAGGUCAGCGUCCAACAAGCCUUUUUUCAACUUUUGACCUCGGAUCAGGUAGGGAUACCCGCUGAACUUAAGCAUAUCAAUAAGCGGAGGA